UAGGGAAUCUUCCACAAUGGACGAAAGUACUGAUGGAGCAACGCGCGUGAGUGAAGAAGGGUUUCGGCUCGUAAACUCUGUUGUUAAAGAAGAACAUAUCUGAGAGUAACUGUUCAGGUAUUGACGGUAUUUAACCAGAAAGCCACGGCUACUACGUGCCAC
rnacentral:rRNA from 1 species